GAUGAACGCUGGCGGCGUGCCUAAUACAUGCAAGUAGAACGCUGAAGGAAGGAGCUUGCUCUUUCCGGAUGAGUUGCGAACGGGUGAGUAACGCGUAGGUAACCUGCCUGGUAGCGGGGGAUAACUAUUAGAAACGAUAGCUAAUACCGCAUAACAGUAGAUGUUGCAUGAUAUCUACUUAAAAGGUGCAAUUGCACCACUACCAGAUGGACCUGCGUUGUAUUAGCUAGUUGGUGAGGUAACGGCUCACCAAGGCGACGAUACAUAGCCGACCUGAGAGGGUGAUCGGCCACACUGGGACUGAGACACGGCCCAGACUCCUACGGGAGGCAGCAGUAGGGAAUCUUCGGCAAUGGACGGAAGUCUGACCGAGCAACGCCGCGUGAGUGAAGAAGGUUUUCGGAUCGUAAAGCUCUGUUGUAAGAGAAGAACGAGUGUGAGAGUGGAAAGUUCACACUGUGACGGUAUCUUACCUGAAAGGGACGGCUAACUACGUG
rnacentral:rRNA from 1 species